rnacentral:rRNA from 1 species
CAGUAGCCGCGGGAAUACGUAGGUGGCAAGCGUUGUCCGGAAUUAUUGGGCGUAAAGGGCUCGCAGGCGGUUUCUUAAGUCUGAUGUGAAAGCCCCCGGCUCAACCGGGGAGGGUCAUUGGAAACUGGGAAACUCGAGUGCAGAAGAGGAGAGUGGAAUUCCACGUGUAGCGGUGAAAUGCGUAGAGAUGUGGAGGAACACCAGUGGCGAAGGCGACUCUCUGGUCUGUAACUGACGCUGAGGAGCGAAAGCGUGGGGAGCGAACAGGAUUAGAUACCCCUGUAGUCCCUGUCUCUUAUAC